rnacentral:rRNA from 1 species
AUGAACGCUGGCGGCGUGCCUAAUACCUGCAAGUCGAGCGAACAGAUGAGGAGCUUGCUCCUCUGACGUUAGCGGCGGACGGGUGAGUAACACGUGGAUAACCUACCUAUAAGACUGGGAUAACUUCGGGAAACCGGAGCUAAUACCGGAUAAUAUAUUGAACCGCAUGGUUCAAUAGUGAAAGACGGUUUUGCUGUCACUUAUAGAUGGAUCCGCGCCGCAUUAGCUAGUUGGUAAGGUAACGGCUUACCAAGGCAACGAUGCGUAGCCGACCUGAGAGGGUGAUCGGCCACACUGGAACUGAGACACGGUCCAGACUCCUACGGGAGGCAGCAGUAGGGAAUCUUCCGCAAUGGGCGAAAGCCUGACGGAGCAACGCCGCGUGAGUGAUGAAGGUCCUCGGAUCGUAAAACUCUGUUAUUAGGGAAGAACAAAUGUGUAAGUAACUAUGCACGUCUUGACGGUACCUAAUCAGAAAGCCACGGCUAACUACGUG